rnacentral:tRNA from 1 species
GUGUCCAUAGUUUAGUGGCAAAACACCAGGUUGUGACCCUGGAGAGACGAGUUCAAUUCUCGUGGGAUACC